UACGAAGGGGGCUAGCGUUGUUCGGAAUUACUGGGCGUAAAGCGCACGUAGGCGGACUAUUAAGUCAGGGGUGAAAUCCCGGGGCUCAACCCCGGAACUGCCUUUGAUACUGGUAGUCUCGAGUCCGGAAGAGGUGAGUGGAAUUCCGAGUGUAGAGGUGAAAUGCGCAGAUAUCAGGAAGAACACCCGUGGCGAAGGCGGCUCUCUGGGACGGUACUGACGCUGAGACGCGAAAGCGUGGGGAGCGAACAGG
rnacentral:rRNA from 1 species